AAAGAUUAAGCCAUGCAUGUCUAAGUAUAAGCAAUUAUACAGCGAAACUGCGAAUGGCUCAUUAUAUAAGUUAUCGUUUAUUUGAUAGUACCUUACUACUUGGAUAACCGUGGUAAUUCUAGAGCUAAUACAUGCUAAAAAUCCCGACUUCGGAAGGGAUGUAUUUAUUAGAUUAAAAACCAAUGCCCUNCGGGGCUCACUGGUGAUUCAUGAUAACUCCUCGAAUCGCAUGGCCUUGNGCCGGCGAUGGUUCAUUCAAAUUUCUUCCCUAUCAACUUUCGAUGUUUGGGUAUUGGCCAAACAUGGUUG
rnacentral:rRNA from 1 species